AUGAUCCAAAUGAAGGUAUACAUUUUGAUGCAAGAUGAAACUCAAUCCACGAGAAGUCAGCAGAGGACAAAAAGUAGCCAGGUGCAAUUAUCUACUUUUUCCGGCCUAUCGGGUGAAUUUUUUCCAAUAAAGCGUUGACCUAUUUUUUAAAUAUUCAUUUUUACAGCUCAUUUACUACCAUAUAGCUUGCAUUUAAUACGUGUACAGAGUCUAACAAAAGACGAAAUCACUACAUAACCACCAUUUUCUUACGUAUUGAUCCACCCAACUGACAAGAUUGAGGCUAUAAACCACUAUCCCCCUAUGCCCCUCACAGCCGGCAUCAAUUUUCCACAUGUGAGGACUUUUAACCCACUCCCACAGCAGCUCCCAGGACAAGGGUUUACCGAGUCGGUCAAGACUUUGCCACCGCAGCAACCUCCAAUCCAAUUUCUCCAUAACAACCCUGUCCUCGGAAAACCAGGGUCUAUACUACCUCCACCAGUUUCUAUUCCCGCUAUGUUACCCAAGCAAGGACCAGGUGAUAGCACAAUUAGCUCAAUGGACAGUUCGUCAUCAACUCAAAGUUCGAAUGACAAUCCAAUAUGCUCCCCUGGAACAAACACGGCCUCAUAUUCAUCUAAUGACGAAGAACGAAAGACCAGAGACAAAUGUCUUUAUCUCAAACAGCUACUGCAAGAUAAGAAACAGCUUCAGAAUUUUGGCGGAAUGUUUGUUCACAUUGACAGAAUACUAGACGAAGAAAUUGUCAAAGUCAGAUCAGUCUUGUUCCAGAACGGAGACUCCAUGCCUCUCGAACUUCCUGUUGCACAAGGACCAACUGUUAUACUAACAGAAAAAGUUUAUGUUCCAAUCAAAGAACAUCCCGAGUACAAUUUCGUGGGAAGGAUACUCGGACCGCGGGGUUUGACCGCAAAACAACUAGAACAAGAGGCGAAAUGCAAAAUCAUGGUUCGGGGAAAAGGUUCAAUGAGAGAUAAAAAGAAGGAGGAAAUGAACCGAGGAAAACCAAACUGGGAACAUUUGAAUGAUGAUUUGCAUGUCUUAAUCACGGUCGAAGAUACAGAGAAUAGAGCUCACCUCAAGAUGAAACGUGCGGUCGAAGAAAUCAAAAAGCUUCUAGUGCCGGCUGAAGGGGAAGAUGAUUUAAAGAAGAAGCAAUUGAUGGAACUUGCUAUUAUCAAUGGAACAUAUCGUGAUUUCUCUGGACAAUCAGCACAACCAAGACUGAUAACUGCACCACAAGUAUUGUCCAUCCCUGGCAUGAGAUCUCCACCACCCGGUCAACCACCUGCAGGUGUCUUGUCCACUCCAAUCAUCACAAGGCUGCCCAAUGGACAGACUGUGAUAUCAAAUGCAACUGCUGCACCACCACCCCCUCCUCUAAUCUCACCACCAGAUGGAGCACUAUACUACACACCAUUUGAAUAUCCUUACACAGGACUUGUAGCAACACAAGGUGCAUCACUUCUGGAGUAUUCCUUUCCAGAUCCAGCUCUACUAGGUGCGGCGACACCUGGCACUAAAAUAGUACGGCAACGAACCGAUACCCGGGUGCACCCCUACCAGAGGUCACCAGCUGCCACUAACUAGCGUUGUCCUAAAACGUUGCUUUUUGGACUGUGUCGUCUGACCAAAGAUUAACUAACAUUUAAAAAAAAAAAUUUAAAACUGGAUGAGAUAUUAAUAUUAAUUAAUAAUGUUCCUUUUACUUAAAUUGUAUUAAUUUUAAUUACAGUAGUUUUGAAAUGUGAUAAUUUUACAGACAUAGUAGAUUUUUUAUUUUUCCAAUGAUUGCAUGUUUCGUAGCCGAAGUAACUUGCCCUCGCUACAUUAAUUCAUUUUUUAGAAAAACAUUUACAGUCAUGUUUUCGAGACUUUGAAAUUUAAAUUUUUUAUCUUCAAAUGUUUUUUUGGCCGAAUUCUACACAAAUUUAUAGUUUGGAUAAAAAAAUUGAACAAAAUUUUCUUUUGAUAUAAAUUUAAAAAAACUCAAUAAUGAACACAAAUUAUUCUUGCCACUUGUAGAUUCCCAGCCAGAAAAUGUUAUAAAUAAAAUAAUUUGUCAUAAAUCUUGUUACUGGCUUGCGUCAUCAGUCAAUAACAUAUUUUUAGGGCCAAAUGGCCCAAAAUAUUCUCUGGCUGGGGGCCUUUUUUGCUCGUUUUUGACCUCCUAAUAAGCUUACCUAAUAUUUAAAAAAUGGUGGAUAAAAAUUUCUGUAUCAUUAACAAACCGCUGAUUUGUUUUGAAAUAUUUUUUUAAAAGAAAUCACUGAUAAGUGCCUUUUCAUAUAGUUUCACCAUUAUUCUACUUAUUAUUCCUAUUAUUACAUCAUUUUUUUCGUUGUUGUGGUAGCAAAACAAGCUAUAAAAAAUUCACAAUUCAGUGCCUUCCAUGGUAAAAUUUACGGCAUAACAUUAAACAAAAAUUUACUCAAUGUUGCACGAAUCAUUCUACGCACAUGGACAUGAUUGUAUCAUUUUUCAUAAAACAAACUGAAAAUAAUGUUAUCAUCAACGUGUGACUGUUAAUAACAAUAAUACCAAUUUUAAUGUGUUAUAAAUGGAUUUUGAAAUCUCAAUUUAAUAUAGUUUACCUUGGUUUAUGAAAUUUGAAAAAAAAAAUAUCAAAUACCUUCGAUUAAUUUAUUCAUCUCUGCGUUAUAUACAAAUUUUAAAAUGUUUUUGAUCUUAUUGAAUGUUGUAAAGCAGCUUAACAGUCACUUAUUGUUAUUACGUUGUGCCGUAUUACUUAACCAAAAGCACUAUUCAUACCAUCACUUAUACAUUCUAUAUAUACAUACAUAUUCUUUCAAUAUCUUUACAUAACAAAAAACACUUUUUCUACCUGAUGUAUUCUUUCUCUUUGCUUGUGCACACUGGCGCGCUAGAACAGCGGCGAUUGAUCUCCUAACAUCGUUUGGUGUCGGUGACUAAACAUUCUUCAUCGUGUGGAUGAAGCCUAACACUCACACAUUAAGAAUUAUGAUUGGAGUUUGUGAUGAUGCCGCAAUAUGCACCACUUCUCCUCGCUAACACCUACUCUUCAUAUAACAUUCUUCGCAGCUAAUGCAUUUCAAGUUCCUGGUGUGGUUCUAACAUAGAACAUAACAUCUGAUUCUACAAAAGGUUCUCUGCCGCCAAUCUGCCUCAUCGUGACUGAAAAAAGAUGUAAAGAAAUUUCACAAUGGAAAAAAAAAAACAUUUCUUCUCAAUUUUUCUGUAUCAUUGUGUUAUUCUAUUUUCCUUUUGUUAUAUAUUCAAUUUUAGAAAAAAAUGCAUUGUGGGAUAAUAGUGGCAUGGUCCAUUUCCUAUUACAUUGCAUUUAUUAUCAGAUCUUACUUGAUCAAGGUUAUGUUAUGCUUGGGCCAUGGUUGUACAGUGCUGGGCUGUCUUAAUUAAGCAUUAAUAUACCGAUGCUUGGUUUUGAUAUGUCGGCUUUGUAGAAUUGAUCAUGCUUGGUCAGGUAUAAUCUGUAUAAAGUUUGAAUUUUAACUUGUCAUUACCUAUUAUGUUUUAUUUUUGUUUGGUAUAGAUUUUCACUUUAUUUUCUCUUCUUUUUUUGUAAAUUUCAUAUAUUUGUACCGAUUUCAGUCAACCACCGCAGUAAUUUUGACUAAAUUUUCUACGAUUUUUCGAUUUUGAUUGAAACAAAGCAAAAGCUGUUUUUCUAACAAGAUCUGGAUUAGUAAUUUUUAAAAAUACUGUAGAUGUUUUAUGGCUAGUUAUUAUUAGCCUUAUCUUCGACUUAUAUCUCAAAUUUUCAGUUUCCUGUAACUUUUCUAGCAAAAAUUUUAGCUUGCCCGGGGGCUACAUAACAAAAUGGACUUAAUUCUGUAAAUUAUGAAAUACUUUCACAAAAAUUUAAUUCCUUACGAAGAUAAUGAAAUUUUUCACAUGCGAUUUUAUUAAAAAUCAUGUUCUAUCGUGGUAAUGUUUGUUUCGGAUUUUAUGCGUUUUUAAACAUUUUAUUAAUUUAAAUCAUGUACCAUCAUUUGUUUAGGAAACGCAAUUGAUAUUACACUAGAAUUUAUAUUAAUAAGUUGGAUUUUUAACAAAUUUUAGGAUUAGAAUUUCUUCAAAAAUAUGUUUGAUAUUGUUGAAUAUUAACUUGGUGCUCAAUGGUUUCAAACAUAUGGUUAUUAUGGUUUUGAAUCUCGUUAAAUUAUCACUUUUAUGAAAUCUCUAAUUUUAUAAAAUAAUAUACCAAUGAUCAAGCAAGUUGAAUCAAUAAAAAAUGAUUGGGGUUUGAAAAAUAUUUACAGAUCAAUGUACAGGGUGUUCAUACAAUUUUUAUUUUUUUUUUAAUUACAAAGAGAAUUUACGAUACCAUAUAUAGUAUGUUGACCUCUACAGUUAUAUUAAAUAAAGUAAAAAAUUUGAAGAAAUACUGAAUAAGAUCUGGUUAAGAUAUAUUGAGAACUGACUUCAUAACAAAAUUGAAAUUGCAACAGGACUUAUGAACACCCUGUAUAUCGAAUACCAAAAAAUUAACAUUUUUUGAUCCUCGUUUGCUUUCAUUAUUUUUUUUUUCAAAAACACAAAACAGCCGCAAAAUUGCCCCUUAUCAUGUCAAAGUGUUGUUUUUGCAUCAGCAGUAAAGUCAAUACUAUAGCUUUACUCGUUUUACACAAUACUUGUUCAAAUAGUAGUAACUGCGUUCUUCCUUUCUUUUUAAUGGUUCGAUUAGAUUGAAUGAUAUUUUUGCACCCAAUAUUACACAACUUUUGCCCUUACCUUGCCCAACUUUUAUUAAACAAAAAUGGCCUUCCAUUUAGUUAGUAAAUAUUUCAUACCAAAUUGUGUCCACUACUGGUCACUUUUUAAAGAGUUGCAAAAUUUUGGUCAUAUUCUUGUGUAUGGAAUGUUCAGUAUACCUGCAUGACCAAAGUAUUUAAAUACCACAAAUAAAUCUAUGUUAUAAAAAGUAUUUGUUUAAUCAUGUUCUCUCCUGCUUCGAUAUUUUCUGUUUCAAACCUUCAUGAAGCAUUUCAGCUUUUCUAAGUAUUCCACUACUAUUAAUAGUGUUGUCAUAUGAACCAGAAAUGCAGUGUUUUUUCAAGCCGCUUCCACUUUUGUUUACGCAUUUUUCUGAUUUCAAUGAAGUAUCUAUCUUUACAAAAUGUAAUUUUUGAAUUCCACUGGUAAUAGAGAGGUGCUUAAAGGAGACUGUCCCAUUUUGUUGAAAGUCAAGAUGCAUGGUUUUAAAUAGGUGCUAUUGAAAUUAAAAUUGAGCGGUAAAAUGUCUCUAAAUUUUCACAAUAAUGUACCUUAAGUUAUACCCCUGCACAGCUAAAAAUUUACCUUCAAAUGUAUUCCGAUAGACUGCGUGUUUUACCUUCUAAUGUACUACCUAAAAAUAGUUCUGAUGUCUAUGCAGUGCAUGGGCCAAUGAUAAACCAAGGCUUUUUUAAUCUGUGGCCCUAUAUAAUAAUAUGAUAUAACUUAGAUGAUAUCAUACAUUCCCUUCAAGAAAUGGUUUCUUCCUAAAUAUUGCGAAAUUGUGUGGUAGAACAAUGUUUCAUCAUCACUAUUUCGCCUCGUUUUUCAUUUUUCGUAAUUUGAUAUGUGUGAUGAAAUGCCACUAAUGAUAUGUAAUAAACAUUCAUAUUAUA